CCACCCAGGUGCCCCUAGAGAUUUUUAUUUUUAAGUUAUCUCUCUACUCAGCGUGUGGCUGAAACCCAUGACCCUGAGAUCAAGAGUUUUGUGUUCUACAGACGGAGCCAGCCAGCCGCCUCUCAAGUUUUAAUAGUUUAACUACAAUCAGUAACUUUCACUGACUCAGAACAUUAAUAUUUUCAGCCAUUUUAAAAGUGAACAUAUUUUAUUCAUUUCACCCUUCCAAAAACUCUGACAUGAUUUUAAAGAGUAAUUUCAGCCAAGUUCGGAAACUAAAGAUUAAGGGAAUUUAACAAGCUUAUUUUCUCCAUAGACCUAGUGUUUGAGGAACUUGAUCAGAAUUUGUGGCAGAACUCAUACCAGUAUCGUCUAGACCAGGGUUUCUUAACCUUCGCACUAUUGACAUUUGGGGAUGGAUCAUUCUUCGUUGUGGGAUCCUGUCUUGUGCACUGUAGAAUGUUCAGUAGCACCCCGGCCUCUACCGUGUAACCUCAAGUGUAGCCACCAAAAAUGUGUCCAGAGAAUGUCAGAAAGCCCCUUGGGUGCGGGUGGGGGGUGCAAAAUCACCCCAGUUGAGAACCCCUGGUGUAGACACAUAAGGCAUGAGGAAGGCUAGUCGCAUAAAUAAGGGACCAUAGGCUAAAAUAAAUUUAAAUAAGAGAUCGUCUAAUAAAAAUAAAGUUUGAUGAAGAAAAACAGUCGAAAACCUUGGGAGCCUACAGUGUGGGAGUGAUAGCUCUUCUCCACCUUUGGCCUCCUCACAUUUGACAUUGUGGUUCACAGGGAGCGGAUUUUGCUUUUCACCGAUUUUUGCAGUGCCUCGCUACCUUGGUCGUCACCAAAUUUAAAACAACCACCUACCUGAAAUAAGAAUAUGUCAAGUGUAAAGUUCCCAAUCGACCAAGCGUUGUGUUGAGCAGGCCUUGGAAGGAAGGCAGGGAUGGAGCAAGGGCACUAUUUCCUAAGAGUUCUGUGUUUGGUGAGGUCUGAAAUGAGCUGAGAAAGUAGUCGUGUUAACUAAAUUAGCAUAGGUGGGAGAGAAUAUUGAGAGGCUCUGAGGGUCAGUUUGAUGUGUCCAGUUGGCGAGGCUAUCGUUCCCAGUUAUUUAAUCAAACGCUUAUCUAGGUGUUGCUCUGAGGUAUUUCAUACACGUGGCUAACAUGUAUAAUCAGCUGACUCUAAGUAAAGACUAUCCCGAAUAAUAUGGGUGGGCCUGCGCCAAUCAGUUGAAAGCCUUUAACAACAUUAACUGAGGUUUCCCUGGGGUGGGAAACCUUUCGCCUGUCCACAGCAGCGUCAGCUUUUGCUCCCGAGUUUCUGGCUUGCAGGCCUGCCCCGCAGGUUUUCAACUCGCCUUGCCGGCCCUCACAGUUGUUGGAAUAUGUAUCUCUCCCUCCCCCUCCCUCUUUCGCUCCCUCCUCUGUUUCCCCUUAAGCCUUAAUGCUCAAGCUGACUUACAACAGAAGAACAACCACCGUUUAUUAUCAAGGGACAGAGGGAAGACAGGCCUCUAUCUCAUUUAUUCUGUCUCCUUCUGGAGUCUGGCACGUGGUGCUCAAUAAGUGAUGAGUUGAAUGAAGCACGUCAUAUUAGCAAUUGCUACAAACACCUCUGGGGCAUCUAAAACAACAUUUUAAAUGUCUUUGCUGGGAAGUGGGUAAUUUCUAUGAAAAAGGCAUCGUCUGGCUUUCAAAAAAAAAAGUAUUCUCAUAUAAGUCACAUUAAACACACUGUUGAAAAUGUGGGAAACGGAAGGCGCACACACUCGCGUUCGCGAUCAGAACAUGACUCGUGUCAGCUUUCGGUGCAUUUCCUGGAGGCUCCUCUCCUCCCGAACCCCCACCCCGUGCAAAUGUUUUUGUGCAGAGGCAGUCACGCUGUGUUUAAAAUUUCUCCCAGCUUCCUCUCUUGAUACGACUGAAUCUUCAUAAAUCUCAUUUUCUCUUUGUUUAUUUAGUUUUCUGUUGACAAAAGCAAAAUCGAUUAGCGCUCAUUAAUAAGAUGUAACUUUGUGGGGCCCUUUCAGAUGCGCGACCUUUUCCACGGGCUCUCUUUUUAUCCUGCAAACAGGCAUAGGGCAAGUCUUUUCAUCCCCGGGCUACAGAUGAGGAAGCUGGCCUGGGAGUCCCUCAAGAGCUUGUCCAGUCUGCCCGAUGGCAGGCCUUCUGAAAAAUACGCUCCUUCUCCUUUGCCACGCAGUCUUGUUUUGCUUGUUUUACGCCAUCUUCUCUUUCGUGGCUAACGGGACUGAUGGGUUGAGAGAGCACUCCUGUUCAUCUUGUUCUGUGAGAAAGAACGUGCAAAGGCUCAGUAGCUCGUUCCAUAUCGUAUCGUAUGGUGUCAGUAUUUUCCCGAAACUUGACAAGUGAAGCGCGCCUUUUUUCUUUAGGGGCGUGACGAUUCCUGUUUUACUUCAAUUUCUGUUUUCAAGUUUAGGUCACAUCCCAAUGAUAUUUACUGAGGAAAAGUGAACUCUGGAGAGCCACGGUUUUAGGCUUCGGGCUAGUCGCUGGUAGCCAUCCCACUCGACAUCCACGUAAUCGGAUACGUACUUACGAUGGACAGACAAAAGUGCCACAUCAUCACCCAACUCCAUUGGAAGGGCGCAAAGUAAAAUGGGUAGCUGAGUGCAUAAAUAAGUACAAUUCAGCUACGAUUAAAGAAAUGCUCAGAGAUUAAGAAUGAGCACAGCAAGCUGAAUCUCUUUUUCACAUGAAGAAGUAACUCCGAAUACAGCAUUCUCUCCAUUGGGGGUAUACUCAGAAAUACUAAGGAACUUCUGCUGUUUUGCUGUGUCCUGAAGCAAAUCGUGCCACAUUAGAAUAAACAAUUCCCUUACAUUAAAUAUAUUACAUGAAAAAAAUAAACAAACAAUUCCCAGAUAUGGCUGAUUAAAAUCGCAUGUGAUCACAUUAUAGCACGAAAACAUGAUUUUACUUCCUUUGCCCUCAAGGAGCUCACAUGUACUGCAAAUAAUAAUGCCCCCCCCCCAGCAUUAACUGUCUGUGGUGAUGUCGUGUGCUGAGCGUGGCUCUAGUUUUGAGUUUUCUUUGAACCCACGCUGUGUAACUAUUCUUGAGUCUCGCACACAAGCUGAUAUUAACUGUGCUGCUUCUGGGUUUGACCAGUUUAUGACUAAGACUUGCUCUCCUCCCCUCUCCGAUUUCUAAAAGAAUUGCACUGAUGCUGGGAGAGGAUUUCUGACCAUAGGGACUUCCUGAAUCUCCUUCAGAGAAUACCACGUAAGUGUUGCCGGCUACCACGCCAGAGACCAGCUCAGCUUAAUAGCAGCUACUCUGCCACAGCAACAGGGGCUUUGUCGAAUCGCAGAAGCUAUCUAGAAGGUACUUAAAGAUGGUGUACAUUCCACUUCUUCGAAAGGUCAGCUUGGGAAACCUGUCUAGAGAGAUAGUAAGGAUAAACAUAUCCUCCCAGCUCUGUAAUAUCGAGAAGCCAGCAUGGUUCUCUAGAGUAACCCGGUGGAAAAAUGCUGUCUGUGGUGAAUGUUUCAUAAGUGCUGUAAACCCGCCUUUAUGAAGAUCUCAGGUGAUUCACCAAUAACCUGAAAUCAGCCUGAAUCUGUGUGCAUUCAAGCAUUCUUGUAAGCGGACACUAACAAACAGACAGAGACCGAGACCGAG